GCUCAAUGAUUUAUCCUAAAGUGAACACACUCAUGGAACAACUACCUAGCUGAGAAAUAGAACAUACUGAAGACCCCCGAGGACCCUAUGUCCAUGCCCUUUCCCAAACUCUACCCACUCCUUACACCCCAAAGAUGUGGCCAGUUUUCCACAGAGGAUGAACAAAGUUAUGCUCACACCAGCAGCAAGUUAAAGUCUCCGUUGUUCCACAUUUUUGACAACAUUAAGUGUUGUCACUCUAAUUUUUGCCAUUCUGGGUUCAUCCACACCCACCACCUUCAACUUCCUGCUGUGCACCGUAGUUCUUCCCACCUGGGGCCCACCUCCGAACAACCUCAUCUCAUCCAUCAAAUCCCCACUAAACUGGAUCUCCCCAAGGAAGCCUUUCCAAACACCACCCUCAGUUCAGCAUCUAUUUCCUUAGUAUAUAUCCUCAUAACAGUAUCUACUUCUCCUUCUUAGCAUUCACACUACUCCUGAAUGGGUUAUGUACACUGUUACAUGUUUCAUAUAUCUUUUCUCUACUUCAGGAGGGUACAGGCUAUACCAGCUUCCCCACUCUGUCCCCAAGGUACUCAAUAAAUAUAUGACUAAUAAUGAAGGCUGAAAGUACAAGGAUGGAGAUGAUCUGUUGCUAUUCUCGUAGAACUUAUAGUAUAGGUAGUAUGAAUCUUCCAAAGACACAAACUAAAUAUUAUAAGACUCAGAGGAGGGAGAAGGAAAGGAAGGCUUCCUUGAGGAGAUGGGCCUUAAAGAGCCCAUAAAGAGGAUUGGGAAGGACAAGAACAAGACCAUGGGGAGGCCAGGGGAUGUGCCACUUGGCUGGAACAUAGAAAUGGGAAACUAUUCUCUUCUCUGGUGGAUUCCCAGUGCAUAUAGUAAACACUCAACAUAUACAUGUUAACUUAAGACAUUAAUGAAUAUGCCCAGUGUGUUAAGAGAGCCUGCUUCGUGGGAAGGCUUAGGCAAGAGGUUGGGAGAGAUUGUCAUGGGAAGAGUAGAUUGAAGUGUCAAAGGAGG
rnacentral:lncRNA from 1 species